GGCCAGCAUCAGUUUGAGUGGUGGGAUAAGAGCAUUGGAAUGUAGCUCUUCGGAGUGUUAUAGCCUUUGUUGAUACCGCUNCUUGGACUNAGGUUCUUCNNCUNAACGCUGGCGUAAU
rnacentral:rRNA from 1 species